rnacentral:rRNA from 1 species
GACGUAGGGGGCAAGCGUUGUCCGGAUUUAUUGGGCGUAAAGAGCGUGUAGGCGGCCAGGUAGGUCCGCUGUGAAAACUCGAGGCUCAACCUCGAGAUGUCGGCGGAAACCAUCUGGCUAGAGUCCGGAAGAGGAGAGUGGAAUUCCUGGUGUAGCGGUGAAAUGCGCAGAUAUCAGGAAGAACACCCGUGGCGAAGGCGGCUCUCUGGGACGGUACUGACGCUGAGACGCGAAAGCGUGGGGAGCGAACAGG